CGCACCUGUGGGAUCCGGAUCGUGUGAAUGAAGCCCAAUGUAAUAGAAGCCUGUAGCGUGCAGCCAGAUCACUCCUCCGUCCACAGCUGCAGUCCUCUGUGUGGUCCGCCCCGUACUAACAAACCGCAGUGAUAUCUCAUUAUUCUAUGAGGAUUUCAUCCAUUGUAUUAUUUGCAGGACUGUACAAUUGGCAGGACCUUGCUGGCCAGAGGACUAAGAGAACACUUGUUGCUCAACCAGUGUAUGGUCUAGCACAUUCUCUGCUAUUUCUUGAAGCUAUUAUCAUCCUUUAUACAUGCCAGUGAAUGUAAGACAAA